rnacentral:tRNA from 1 species
UAGUUGAAGUUUACAACGACGGUUUUUCAAGUCGUAGUUCUUGGAGAAAAGCCAAGCA